ACACUGGAAACACAAUUUUGCACCGGGCUAUUCUACAAAGACACAGCAGGGCAUAUGGAUGCCACCGAUCCA